rnacentral:lncRNA from 1 species
AUCAAUUCACUCAACAUGGGCCUCUGGAUAACAUCAUCAGCACCAUAGUUAUUAUCUUUGCCAGCAUGAGCAUAGUUUCUUCUCCAACUUAAUCUGUUGUUAUUAGGCAACCUACCAUUCACAUGAAUAAACAGCCCGAAAUUUUGAAAAAAAAAAAAUUAACAGAAAGAAAAUGUCAAUAAAUAAAGAUCGAUGUGAUUCUCAGAAGAAACUAUCAAUCGAGUAAAAAUUCACAAAGCCUAAGCGCAUACCUGACGUUGGAAGCAAUCCUAGAAGCUAACCGUAACAUAACUACGUGGAUGUCAAAGAGAAUAAAAGAGUUGAGUUUGCUGAAUUUUUUUUUCUCUUACGUAUUAAUUUAUUUUUGACGAUAGAUGAAUAGAGAUUAUAAACUGAGAAUCUACUACAUAGAUCUGAAAGAAGGAAGUUUUACUGACUUAUUAGUUCUUAGACCUUUCUGUACUUUCA